GGGUUGUGAGGUUAAGCGAAUAAGCGUACACGGUGGAUGCCUAGGCAAUCAGAGGCGAUGAAGGACGUGCUAAUCUGCGAAAAGCGUCGG
rnacentral:rRNA from 1 species